GGACGCAUAGCUCAGAUGGUUAGAGCACUCGUUUCACAUACGAGGGGUCAGGGGUUCAAUUCCCUUUGUGUCCACCA
rnacentral:tRNA from 1 species